rnacentral:rRNA from 1 species
GACGAACCGUCCUAACGUUGUUCGGAUUCACUGGGCUUAAAGGGCGCGUAGGCGGACUGGUAAGUCCGGGGUGAAAUCUUUCGGCCCAACCGGAAAAGUGCCUUGGAAACUGCCAGUCUCGAGGGGGGUAGGGGCCUGUGGAACUUCGGGUGGAGCGGUGAAAUGCGUUGAUAUCCGAAGGAACGCCGGUGGCGAAAGCGACGGGCUGGACCCCUUCUGACGCUUAGGCGCGAAAGCCAGGGGAGCAAACGGG